AUAUGAAAGUCACUGGCAGGAUGGAGAUUAGAGGCUGCUGGUGUAUGUUAUCCAGCUAAAAAGAGCAAUUAUUUCUUUGGCUAGGUCACUAAGACACCUAAACAUCUUCAGGACAGCAAAGAGAUUAGACAGGCUCUGCUGCAAGCCAGGAGUGUCAUGCAAUCAUGGAUGUUAGUCUCUAGAGAACUGAUAUCUUUGCUUCACCUGUCCCUGACACACAUGAAUGAAGACAGAAUGACAGUGAGUCAGGAGUCUCGGCGUGCAGAAACCCUGGUUUCCUCCUGUUCUCAUGUACUGAAGAAACUGAGGGCAAAGCUCCAGAGCCUCAGAACAGAAAGGGAGGAGGCAAAGCACAGAGAGGAGAUGGCCCUUCACGGCAAAGAUGCGGCAGAGGCAGUACUGGAGGCUUUCCGUGCACAUGCUAGCCAGCGCAUCAGCCAACUGGAACAGGAUUUUACAUCUAUGCAAGAGUUCAGAGGCCUUCUACAGGAAGCCCAGACCCAACUGGUAAUGUCAUCUCCUUUUUGUC